UUGGUAAUGUUACAUAUUUGGCAGUUUCUUUCUGAUGAUAAAAGUAAUGUAUGUUUAUGUUCUACAUCUGUGUUACAGGUCAUUCACCAGUGGCUCCAGUCUGGUUUGGGGGUCUACCCUUUCUCAUCCUGGCCUGCCAGCCAAGUAAAAAGAGAAAUAACUACAGACCUCUGCAACUGCUGAUACCGGUUCAGGAUGAAUUGCAGAUGCUGUGAGCGAGUCAGUGGUUCAACCAGCCUGUCAACAAACAGGAAAAGCUCAAGUCGGAGUCUUAACUGUCAGCAACUCUACCCAAAAAAAUCAGGCUACUGUUAUUGCCCACUAAGAAAAACAGUGGUCUGGUAUGAAGGUUAUCUGUGUUUUGGAACAUGUUCUUAAUAUUCAUUAAAUAAUAAAAAAAAGUUUGACACUUUA